CUCUCCCUAUUGGUACCUCCGAGUUUGAUGCAUAUAAUGAAAGUAACAACGAAAGUGCUGCAAUAAUAAAAUUACGAUGCCUCCCCAACGGCUCUCCCGCCUUGCCGAAUUUGAAUACGCCAUCUGCUUCCCGUGCCAAGGAUGGUGGUGGCCCUUUGACUCUGUUGUUCCCAUCUGGGCAGCGGCAUAAUGUGGCGGUUGUAGUGGUGCUGAGCGGUGGCUUUGCGAAGGGGGGCUUUUGCAAACAGAAAAAUGAGGCCUUAUCGGAAUGGGGAGGAAGGACCAACGGUCGUUGGCAUCGCCCUUGAGAAAUGGGAAAAAAGUUCAGAGGGCUAGUCGAUUGGCCUCUGGUUUUGGGGGUGCCCACAACAGGGUCGCUCGUGGGUGUGGGGAAGAGGAUAUUGCUGCUAGGGCAACAGUAAAUUUGGAUGCAGAUACAGUCAAGGAGGUUUUUGAAAAAUGAAAAAUAUUUUGCUAAGAGGGGUUUGAUAGGGAGGUUUCAAGGAUUUUGGUAAAGUCUUGGAGAUCUUCACAAGUGGAUUUUUGAGACCCGGUGCCUGUUAUGGAGGGUAAUGUGCAGAUCUACCCAGGAGCUCGAGGCUUCUUUGUGGUUAUCUUUGACAAGGUGGAAGAUAGGAAUAAAAUCUUCUGCACUUCACCCUGGAGCUGGGAGGAGAAAGGAGAAACAAACUCUGCUGCUCAAACCUUGGUAUCUAGCAUUUAACCCAAUUACCAAAUCUUUUGAUCGGAUUCUGAUUUGGUCAAUAGAUUAUGAAGGUAUCCCUUUUAGAUGCAGGAAAUGCUUCCAAACUGGGCAUAUAGCAGCCAAAUGUGAAAAGCGAAAUAACAAUAGGAGAGCCUCUUGGUGGAAGGAUGGAUGUCUCCCUUCAUCAUUAUUCAAUGGAGAAGGAUGUAGGGAACAUCCAAAAAGUGAUUACAGACAAUGAAUCAUCUAUGGAUGGACAAGAGAAAUCAUAUUUAAAUGCCUUGAACUAGGAGAUUGGCAUAGGCAAAAAGGAUAAACAGUUUUCAGAAUCCUCACCUCCAAACCCUGGAAGAGUUGCAAAAACAAAUCGACAAGAAGUAUUGAACCCAAAGGCGAGGACCGGAACAGGCUCUUCAAGCAGGAGUGAGGACACCAUCAACGAUGAGGUGUUGAGCAUGGGACAAUGGCAAGAAGUUAGAAGAAAAAAAGAAAGGAAGGUCCCAAAGAAGACUCUUUCCAACCCAGGUUCGGAAUAGUUACAAUUUUUGGGGAUGGUCUCCGCUUUGGCUGGAUAGCUGACUGGGGCCACUGCCAUAUUUUCAAGCUGGAUCAAGCUAAUUUUAGAAAUUUCAAUCUCUGUUUGAGGUUUUUUAUUUUUCUAUAUCAUUUUAUCUAUGGCUAUAUGAUUAAGUUCUGGUUUAUUGCUUGGAACCCUCUAGGUUGAGCUAUUAUAUGUAAUUUUCUACAGUUGACAAUGUUCUGGAUAACAGUUCAGAUCAUGUUGAUUUGAAAAUGUCUAAUGAUGAAGAUAAAGAUUAGAGAUCCAAGUCAGUUUGCAUAUGGUGGCUAAAAUUGCUUCGUGGUUUGCCAUCAUCCUGGUCUACAAGGACCUUUUUUUGUUUAAAUUAUGUGUAAAAAAAAACUUUUUUUAUUAAUAUAAAUCUGUUGACUCUGCC